UACGGGGGGUGCGAGCGUUGUCCGGAAUCACUGGGCGUAAAGGGCGCGUAGGUGGCUUUGUAAGUUUGCGGUGAAAGCCCGGGGCUCAACCCCGGGUCUGCCGUGGAUACUGCAAGGCUUGAGUACUGUAGAGGCAGGUAGAAUAUCGGGUGUAGCGGUGGAAUGCGUAGAGAUCCGAUAGAAGACCGGUGGCGAAGGCGGCCUGCUGGGCAGUAACUGACACUGAGGCGCGACAGCGUGGGGAGCAAAAGGG
rnacentral:rRNA from 1 species